UGUUUGAGAGCAGCCUGGGCAACAUGAGACCCUGUCUCUAAAAAAAUAAAUAAAUAAAAAACUCAGCCAGACACGCUGGCACAUGCCUGUAGUCCCAGCUACUCAGGAGACUGGGGUGGGAGGAUCGCUUGAGCCCAGAAGUUUGAGGUUGCACAGAGCUAUGAUUGCACCACUGCCAUCUAGCCUGGGUGACAGAGUGAGACCCUGUCUUGGGGGAGGGGCGGGGAAAUAAUGGGUCCUGGGUAGAGAAUCACCGCAUGAAGGUGCUGAUGUCCAGGUGAUUCUACUGGCCAGCCAGGAAGAACCACUGCAUGAGGCUAAGAGCCUGCAAAGCAAAUGGGACCCUGUUUUGUUCAGCAAUUCAAUGUACGCGGGCAACUUAGCUGCAGAGAGCACCCGACCUUGCCUGCUCUGGAGGAGCCCUGGGGAACCAGCAAGGUGGCAGUGCUACCAAGAUGGAAUCCCCUAAUUCAUCCAUCUGCUUGUUACGGGAGCCAAGUGAGAAACCCCAGAUGCAGUCAUCAGAGUUUGAAGGAAAACAAACCUGAUCAGCACAAAUUGAAUUUCAUGCUUUAAUUUUAAACUUUGGAAGGUACUACCAAAAUGAAGAUGCCGUUGAGUUUGCUGCAAACCAUGAGGUAACUUCUUUUUUCACUGGUUGCAAUGGACUGAAUAUCUGUCUCCCCUCAGCAAGGUCAUGUGUCGAAACCCCAACCUCGAAGGAGAUGGGAUCAGAAGGUGGGGCCUUUGGAGAUAAUUAGAUCAGG
rnacentral:lncRNA from 10 species